rnacentral:pre_miRNA from 1 species
CUUCGGUGAACAUUCAACGCUGUCGGUGAGUUUGAGCUUCUAACAGAAACCAUCGACCGUUGACUGUACCCUGAGG